rnacentral:rRNA from 1 species
GACGAACGCUGGCGGCGUGCUUAACACAUGCAAGUCGAACGGAAAGGCCCUGCUUUUGUGGGGUGCUCGAGUGGCGAACGGGUGAGUAACACGUGAGUAACCUGCCCUUGACUUUGGGAUAACUUCAGGAAACUGGGGCUAAUACCGGAUAGGAGCUCCUGCUGCAUGGUGGGGGUUGGAAAGUUUCGGCGGUUGGGGAUGGACUCGCGGCUUAUCAGCUUGUUGGUGGGGUAGUGGCUUACCAAGGCUUUGACGGGUAGCCGGCCUGAGAGGGUGACCGGCCACAUUGGUCCUGCGAUACGGCCCAGACUCCUACGUGAGACAGCAGUGGGGAAUAUUGCCCAAUGGGCGCAAGCCUGAUGCAGCAACGCCGCGUGCGGGAUGACGGCCUUCUGGUUGUGAACCGCUUUCGCCUAUGACGAAGCGUUAGUGACGGUAAUGGGUAAAUAAGCACCGGCUAACUACGUG